rnacentral:rRNA from 1 species
GUGGGGAAUAUUGGACAAUGGGGGGAACCCUGAUCCAGCCAUGCCGCGUGCAGGAAGAAGGCCUUCGGGUUGUAAACUGCUUUUGUACGGAACGAAACGGUCCGGGUUAAUACCCUGGGCUAAUGACGGUACCGUAAGAAUAAGCACCGGCUAACUACGUGCCAGCAGCCGCGGUAAUACGUAGGGUGCAAGCGUUAAUCGGAAUUACUGGGCGUAAAGCGUGCGCAGGCGGUUUUGUAAGACAGGCGUGAAAUCCCCGGGCUCAACCUGGGAAUUGCGCUUGUGACUGCAAGGCUGGAGUGCGGCAGAGGGGGAUGGAAUUCCGCGUGUAGCAGUGAAAUGCGUAGAUAUGCGGAGGAACACCGAUGGCGAAGGCAAUCCCCUGGGCCUGCACUGACGCUCAUGCACGAAAGCGUGGGGAGCAAACAGGAUUAGAAACCCUGGUAGUCC